GACGAACGCUGGCGGCGUGCCUAAUACAUGCAAGUAGAACGCUGAAGGAGGAGCUUGCUUCUCUGGAUGAGUUGCGAACGGGUGAGUAACGCGUAGGUAACCUGCCUGGUAGCGGGGGAUAACUAUUGGAAACGAUAGCUAAUACCGCAUAAGAGUAGAUGUCGCAUGACAUUUGCUUAAAAGGUGCAAUUGCAUCACUACCAGAUGGACCUGCGUUGUAUUAGCUAGUUGGUGAGGUAACGGCUCACCAAGGCAACGAUACAUAGCCGACCUGAGAGGGUGAUCGGCCACACUGGGACUGAGACACGGCCCAGACGCCUACGGGAGGCAGCAGUAGGGAAUCUUCGGCAAUGGACGGAAGUCUGACCGAGCAACGCCGCGUGAGUGAAGAAGGUUGUCGGAUCGUAAAGCUCUGUUGUAAGAGAAGAACGAGUGUGAGAGUGGAAAGUUCACACUGUGACGGUAUCUUACCAGAAAGGGACGGCUAACUACGUG
rnacentral:rRNA from 1 species